AUGGCUCAGGACGAACGCUGGCGGCGUGCUUAACACAUGCAAGUCGAACGGGAGUAUUGAAGAAGCUUGCUUAGAGAUACUUAGUGGCGGACGGGUGAGUAACGCGUGAGGAGCUGUCCUAUGCAGGGGGACAACAGCUGGAAACGGCUGCUAAUACCCCAUAAGCCGAGAGGUAAAAGGAUCAAUCCGGCAGAGGAGGUACUCGCGUCCUAUCAGCUAGUAGGUGAGGUAACGGCUCACCUAGGCGAAGACGGGUAGCCGGCCUGAGAGGGCGAACGGCCACACUGGAACUGAGAUACGGUCCAGACUCCUACGGGAGGCAGCAGUGGGGAAUAUUGGGCAAUGGGGGAAACCCUGAACCCCCAGCGACGCCGCGUGGGUGAAGAAAUCCUUCGGGAUGUAAAGCCCUGUUGUAUGGGAAGAGCGGAAGACGGUACCAUACGAGGAAGCCCCGGCAAACUACGUGCCAGCAGCUGC
rnacentral:rRNA from 1 species